AGAGUUUGAUCAUGGCUCAGAACGAACGCUGGCGGCGUGGAUAAGACAUGCAAGUCGAGCGAGAUUUUUUCCUGUAGCAAUACAGGGAAAAGUCUAGCGGCGAACGGGUGCUUAACACGUGGGCAACCUGCCGAGAAGUGGGGGAUAGCUCGCCGAAAGGCGAAUUAAUACCGCAUGUGAUUAGAGAGGACAUCCUUUCGAAAUUAAAGUCGGGGCAACCUGACGCUUUUUGUGGGGCCCGCGGCCUAUCAGCUAGUUGGUGAGGUAACGGCUCACCAAGGCUUUGACGGGUAGCUGGUCUGAGAGGACGACCAGCCACACUGGGACUGAGACACGGCCCAGACACCUACGGGUGGCAGCAGUCGAGAAUUUUUGACAAUGGGGGAAACCCUGAUCGAGCGACGCCGCGUGGAGGAUGAAGGUCUUCGGAUUGUAAACUUCUGUCAUUGGGGAACAAGGUGCAUACGUUAACUGCGUGUGCAUUGAUAGUACUCGAAGAGGAAGAGACGGCUAACUCUGUGCCAGCAGCCGCGGUAAUACAGAGGUCUCAAGCGUUGUUCGGAUUCAUUGGGCGUAAAGGGUGCGUAGGCGGCGCGGUAAGCCGGGUGUGAAAUCUCGGGGCUUAACUCCGAAACUGCAUUCGAUACUGCCGUGCUUGAGGACUGGAGAGGAGACUGGAAUUUACGGUGUAGCGGUGAAAUGCGUAGAUAUCGUAAGGAAGACCAGUGGCGAAGGCGGGUCUCUGGACAGUUCCUGACGCUGAGGCACGAAGGCCAGGGGAGCAAACGGGAUUAGAUACCCCAGUAGUCC
rnacentral:rRNA from 1 species